AGACCUAGGUUCUCGCGGAGAACUGCAUCGCGCUCCCAGCUCUGCUGCCUCGGUGCGGGGACGGGGCUCUGCAUGAGGACUGGGAAUGUAAGUCCCGGGCCUGGAUAGGCGCCCCUGGGAGCAGCCUGGAGGAGAACGAGUAAAAGGCUGAGGAGUUGGCUUGGAGGAUCUCGGCAAGGCCGCGCGGAUGGAGAUGAAGCUGCGAAGAAUGCUGAGAAAGGGAGGCCGGGGCCUUGGAGCAAAGCUAGGGAAACGCUGCGGGGGGCAGCCGAGGCCGCCGGCGCCCCGAGAGAAAAGAAAAGCAGUCUGAUUCGGAGGAACGGAUUGCUUGAGGCGGCUCCCAGCUCGAGUUGUGGGCCCUGCCGCGGGUGCCCUUCGGAAACGCGCGGACACCAGGCGAAGCCGCCUCUGCCGGGACGCAGCCCGACACUUGCCCGCGGUGUUCCCCGGGACGCCUGAGAGUAAUGGGCGCGAGGGGGAGAGCCGAACGGCCUCCCUGUGCCCGGCGCAGGCGGUGCCCCCUAGCUGGGUUCGCCGCGGCGGCGCUGCCAGCCCCCGACAC
rnacentral:lncRNA from 1 species